rnacentral:rRNA from 1 species
CCUACGGGUGGCAGCAGUGAGGAAUAUUGGUCAAUGGGCGCGAGCCUGAUCCAGCCACGUAGCGUGAAGGAUGACUGCCCUACGGGUUGUAAACUUCUUUUAUAAAGGAAUAAAGUGAGGCACGUGUGCCUUUUUGUAUGUACUUUAUGAAUAAGGAUCGGCUAACUCCGUGCCAGCAGCCGCGGUAAUACGGAGGAUCCGAGCGUUAUCCGGAUUUAUUGGGUUGAAAGGGAGCGUAGAUGGGUUGUUAAGUCAGUUGUGAAAGUUUGCGGCUCAACCGUAAAAUUGCAAUUGAUACUGGCAGUCUCGAGUACAGGUGAGGUAAGCGGAAUUCGUGGUGUAGCGGUGAAAUGCUUAGAUAUCACGAAGAACUCCGAUUGCGAAGGCAGCUUACUAAACUGACACUGACAUUGAUGCUCGAAAGUGUGGGUAUCAAACAGGAUUAGAUACCCUUGUAGUC